rnacentral:SRP_RNA from 1 species
GCUGGGUGUGGUGGCGUGUGCCUGUAAUCCCAGUUACUUGGGAGGCUGAGACAGGAGAAUCGCUUGAACUCAGGAGGCAGAGGUUGCAGUGAGCCGAGAUUGCACCACUGCACACUACCCUGAGCAAGAGAGUGAGACUCUGUCUCAA